rnacentral:rRNA from 1 species
ACUACGGGGGGCAGCAGUGGGGAAUAUUGCACAAUGGGGGAAACCCUGAUGCAGCGACGCCGCGUGAGUGAAGAAGGAAUUCGUUAUGUAAAGCUCUAUCAGCAGGGAAGAAAAGGACGGUACCUGAGUAAGAAGCCCCGGCGAACAACGUGCCAGCAGCCGCGGUAAUACGCCUGGGGCAAGCGUUAUCCGGAGUUACUUGGGGUCAAGGGAGCGUAGACGGGCGUGCAAGUCUGGAGUGACAGGCGGGGGCCCAACCCCCGGACUGCUCUUGAAACUGUACGGCUUGAGUGCAGGAGAGGUAAGUGGCAUUCCUAGUUUUGCCGUUAAAUGCGUAGAUAUUAGGCGGAACACCAGUGGCGCAGGCGGCUUACUGGACUGUAACUGACGUUGCGGCUCGAAAGCGUGGGGAGCAAACAGGAUUAGAUACCCCAGUAGUC